UACGAAGGGUGCAAGCGUUACUCGGAAUUACUGGGCGUAAAGCGUGCGUAGGUGGUUUGUUAAGUCUGUUGUGAAAGCCCCGGGCUCAACCUGGGAAUGGCAGUGGAUACUGGAAAGCUAGAGUGCGGUAGAGGGUAGUGGAAUUCCCGGUGUAGCAGUGAAAUGCGUAGAGAUCGGGAGGAACACCAGUGGCGAAGGCGGCUACCUGGACCAGCACUGACACUGAGGCACGAAAGCGUGGGGAGCAAACAGG
rnacentral:rRNA from 1 species